CCGACAACUCCGCGUCCGAGGCGCGGUACGCUGCCGAAAUCCCGGUGCGGGAAUUCGGUGAGAAUCCGAAACGGUCGCGCCACUGUGAGUCGGACCCGUGAGGGGCUGGCGAGUCAGAUAUCGCCCCGGGUGUGCAUAUCCAU
rnacentral:ncRNA from 2 species